CCUACGGGAGGCAGCAGUGAGGAAUAUUGGUCAAUGGGCGCAAGCCUGAACCAGCCAUGCCGCGUGCAGGAAGAAUGCCCUCUGGGUUGUAAACUGCUUUUAUUUGGGAAUAAACCUUUUUACGUGUAGAAAGCUGAAGAUACCAAAUGAAUAAGCACCGGCUAACUCCGUGCCAGCAGCCGCGGUAAUACGGAGGGUGCAAGCGUUAUCCGGAAUCAUUGGGUUUAAAGGGUCCGCAGGCGGAUUUAUAAGUCAGUGGUGAAAUCUCUCGGCUUAACCGAGAAACUGCCAUUGAUACUGUAAGUCUUGAAUUCGGUCGAAGUGGGCGGAAUGUGUAGUGUAGCGGUGAAAUGCAUAGAUAUUACACAGAACACCGAUAGCGAAGGCAGCUCACUAGGCCUGGAUUGACGCUCAGGGACGAAAGCGUGGGGAUCAAACAGGAUUAGAUACCCUGGUAGUCCACGCUGUAAACGAUGAUUACUCGUUUUCGGCGAUAUACAGUCGGAGACUAAGCGAAAGUGAUAAGUAAUCCACCUGGGAGUAACGAUCGCAAGGUUGAAACUUCAAAUUGAAUUGACGG
rnacentral:rRNA from 1 species